rfam:Triticum aestivum genome assembly, contig: Triticum_aestivum_CS42_TGACv1_scaffold_569920_7AS
CGUUAGAGCAUUGAGAGGACCUUUCCCUAGUACGAGAGGACCGGGAAGGACGCACCUCUGGUGUACCAGUUAUCGUGCCUACGGUAAACGCUGGGUAGCCAAGUGCGGAGAGGAUAACUGCUGAAAGCAUAUAAGUAGUAAGCCCACCCCAAGAUGAGUGCUGUCUCCUUCGACUUCCCUAGAGCCUCCGGUAUCACAGCCGAGACAGCGACGGGUUCUCCACCCAUACGGGGAUGGAGCGACAUAAGUAUGGAAAUAGGAUAAGGUAGCGGCGAGACGAGCCAUUUAAAUAGGUGUCAAGUGGAAGUGCAGUGAUGUAUGCAGCUGAGGCAUCCUAAUGAACGAA